ACAGGUUCAAGCCUUGUGCUUUGUUGCUUUGCUGCACUGGACUGAUUAGGUGAUGAGAAUGGAUGGGACUAAGACGGCUCAACAAUUACCUUAUGGAAAUCUAAAGACAGCAAACCAUGAACCAGACACACAGAAAGACAAAAACGUUUCCAAGACACACCAGGAGGCAAUGGCAUGUGACAAAGAAUUUGAAUUUUCAGUGGAGACUGUGAGGUUUAAGACUGUAAAGGACACAUGAACCACCGCUGAACCACAGAUCUCAAAGCCCCUGCUUUAGGACUACGGUUUCAAGAGAUCACAUUCUAUGCAAAGAGUGCAAGUAGCUGGGUGCAUUGUUACAUCAUCACAUGAUCACUUGCACACCUGCCAGCUCUUCUGUACAGACAAGUGGUUACUUCUUCACUCAGGAAGAAUUGCCAGACCAUGGUUUCUUCUGCCAGUUCAAUUCCUAUAAUUUUAGUCGUGAUAGUCUUCCAGGAAUGCUUUUCUCCUUAAUUUCUGAUACCUACAUAAAUGAGAAUUUGAAUUCCUUAUCACCAUCCUGAUUUCAGACCUG
rnacentral:lncRNA from 10 species